AUACGGAGGACGCGAGCGUUAUCCGGAUUCAUUGGGUUUAAAGGGUGCGCAGGCGGCCGUGCAAGUCAGCGGUGAAAGCCCGGGGCCCAACCCCGGAAGUGCCGUUGAUACUGCAUGGCUUGUAUGCGGUCGAGGCGGGCGGAACGUGGCGUGUAGCGGGGGAAAGCGUAGAUAUGCCACAGAACGCCGAUAGCGGAGGCAGCUCGCCAGGCCUGCAUGGACGCUCGGGCACGAAAGCGUGGGGAUCGAACAGGAUUAGAUACCCUGGUAGUCCACGCCGUAAACGAUGGGCGCUCGUCGUCGGCGGCAGACAGUCGGCGGCCAAGCGAAAGCGAUAAGCGCCCCACCUGGGGAGUACGGUCGCAAGGCUGAAACUCAAAUGAAUUGACGGGG
rnacentral:rRNA from 1 species